rnacentral:rRNA from 1 species
GGGUUGGUAGGUUGGUCAUGCCUCUGGUAUGUACUGGUCUCACUGAUUCCUCCUUCCUGAUGAGCCGUAAUGCCAUUAAUUUGGUGUUGCGGGGAAUUUGGACCGUUACUUUGAAAAAAUUAGAGUGUUUAAAGCAAGCUAACGCUUGAAUACAUUAGCAUGGAAUAAUGGAAUAGGACCUUGGUCUUAUUUUGUUGGUUUCUAGGAUUGACGUA